AUCCAGAUGACGAGCCCCAAAUAGGACGAAAUGAGCAUCCUGGAU
rnacentral:hammerhead_ribozyme from 1 species